rnacentral:rRNA from 1 species
CCUACGGGAGGCAGCAGUGGGGAAUAUUGGGCAAUGGGCGCAAGCCUGACCCAGCAACGCCGCGUGAAGGAUGAAGGCUCUCGGGUUGUAAACUUUCUUUUAGAGGGAAGAGCAGAAGACGGUACCUCUUGAAUAAGCCAUGGCUAACUAAGUGCCAGCAGCCGCGGUAAUACGUAGGUGGCCAGUGUUGUCCGGAUUUACUGGGUGUAAAGGGCGUGCAGCCGGGAAGUCAAGUCAGAUGUGAAAUGCCGCGGCUCAACCGCGGAACUGCAAUUGAAACUGUUUUUCUUGAGUACCGGAGAGGUCGUCGGAAUUCCUGGUGUAGCGGUGAAAUGCGUAGAUAUAAGGAAGAACACCAGUGGCGAAGGCAGAUGACUGGACGGCAACUGACGGUGAGGCGCGAAAGCGUGGGGAGCAAACAGGAUUAGAUACCCUUGUAGUC